GGUCAUGUGACUCUGACUCAGCUGCAAGGCGGAAGCAGCGAUCCCAGCCCCAGAGACAGGAGUGGAGGAGGAGACCGGCAGCAAGAUGCUGGCGUCGUUGUUGGUGGUGUGUGUUUCCGUGGUGAUGGCAACCCCCCCGCCAGCCCCCCACCCCCUGUCCCCCGACUUUGUCAACCUCAUCAACAAAUUCAACACCACCUGGCGGGCCGGCCAGAAUUUCCAGAACGUUCCCUUCAGCCAUGUUAAGAAACUGUGUGGG